rnacentral:rRNA from 1 species
ACUCCUACGGGAGGCAGCAGUGGGGAAUUUUGGACAAUGGGCGAAAGCCUGAUCCAGCCAUGCCGCGUGCAGGAUGAAGGCCUUCGGGUUGUAAACUGCUUUUGUACGGAACGAAACGGCCUUUUCUAAUAAAGAGGGCUAAUGACGGUACCGUAAGAAUAAGCACCGGCUAACUACGUGCCAGCAGCCGCGGUAAUACGUAGGGUGCAAGCGUUAAUCGGAAUUACUGGGCGUAAAGCGUGCGCAGGCGGUUAUGUAAGACAGUUGUGAAAUCCCCGGGCUCAACCUGGGAACUGCAUCUGUGACUGCAUAGCUAGAGUACGGUAGAGGGGGAUGGAAUUCCGCGUGUAGCAGUGAAAUGCGUAGAUAUGCGGAGGAACACCGAUGGCGAAGGCAAUCCCCUGGACCUGUACUGACGCUCAUGCACGAAAGCGUGGGGAGCAAACAGGAUUAGAUACCCGGGUAGUCCCAU